rnacentral:lncRNA from 1 species
UAUAACAUGGCCUGAAAUUCAAGGCCCUUUAAAAGAGGGUGUGAUUGGCUGAGUGUAAGUGAUGUACCAGCCCUUAGCUACACUAGGCAAUUUUCACAAGGAAAUUAGUUGAAGGAGCCUCCAGUGAUGCCUGGAUUAACCUUCCCAACAGGAUUGCACAUAAUAAGAGAGAUAAUUACCUAGGAGGAUAUUACGAUACUAGAAGAAAGUGGGGGAUGAAUGUUGGGUCGACAAAAUAGGACAAAUGUUUUCUAUGCCCAAUCCAUCGUUUCUCUUACCACAGCACACAACUCAUCAUUUAUUGGCCAGUCUAUAAAUGGCCAUAAAAUUGUGGCCGGCCUUAAUGCAUUUCAAAGCAAAAUAUAAAUGACUUUCCAAUUAUCCAUUUUGAAUUAUUUAUGCCAUCACUUUCUACUGUUUGCCCAUCCUAGAUCUAAUCGUGGAAAAUGACCACAUUAUAGCCAUUUAUCAGACAACACUUUGGCAUCAUAUUUCUUUAUUUACAAAUAUUUCUUUACCAUUGGUCUUUAAAAUUUACUGCUGUGCCAGGUGCUAUGGGAGAUAGAGAGGCACUGGAUAAGAUGUGAUGAUUGCUUUCUAGGUGCUUAGAAACAAAUAUAGGAAAUAUAAUACAGAAUAAAUAAUAUAAAAUAAUAUAAAACAGUGCAUAAUCAAAGAUUAAAACAUACAUCUAUGUGUGUGAGGAUAGCAUGGUUGGGCAUAACUGGUGCUAAUGUAAGAGGAGCUAGGUGCAAUGUGUAAUUUAAAUCUCAGAAGAAUAUUUUCGAUAGUGGCAACUAGAUGAUCUUUGUCCAGGCUGUGUUAAUCUAAAUUAUAAUUUUUUGCUAUUUGUUUAUUCCAAAAAAUAGGACAGAAAUUGAUUUAGACUAGGUCUCCUUCUGUGUAUAGUACAGAGAUUUUGUCCCAGGGUUAUUCCCUUUGGCCACAGUCCUGUUCUGGAGGAGCUGCUGUUAUGCCAUUUGUAAAUGGCACGGGCCUGGCCCACUUGUCUACUGCUAUGUUUCUACUGCUAAUGUCAUGAAACGCCUCUGGCAGCAUAAAUAACUUUAUUACUAAGCUAUAAAGUAGAGCAAGUUAUUAAUAUUGUAUGAAUUGCAUUCUAUUCAUUUUUUUUUCUUUAAUGGGGGGAGUUCUUACCAUGGUCUGGAAAACAUAUCCUUGAAAUUGCUGAGUAGCAGCAGUAAAUGAUUUUGGAAGCCCCAUCGCUACUGGAAAUUUUGAUUGGGAGCUGGAUUUAAUAAGUUCAGGUUUACUUCUGAGCUACUCAUUUUCCUUAGGAAUUCCAUGAUUAAGGCAGCCUACCUCUCAGUGAUAACUACAAGGAAUUGGAUUUUACUGUGUAGUAUAAACAGAUCUGGAUCGAUGAGAUGACAUUCUGAGCAUUAUCAAGAGGCUUGUGAACUGCUUUGUUGUGAGAGGUAAUUGACACUGAAAGCUUUUGAAAAUUGAGGUUUACAGGAGCAGGCCUAAGUCAAUGAUGUUUUGUUUCAUCUGAGGUAUUUGAAUAAGGCAUUAGUUGGCAGGUACUAAUACCACUUUACGAAGCUCAAGUUUAGGCAAGCCAUUAACCUCCUCUAUAGCAAGCAGAAGUUAAGUUAGAAGGGAUAAAAAUAAAAUUCCCUCCAGAUCAGUGCAGAGGAAGAAAGGGGUCUGUAGAUAACACAGACUGAGCUUCAUUUGAUAGAGGUUUAUUUAUUUCCCUCAGGCCAUUAGUAACCACAUGUUAAAUGUUCUCCUUCUUGAUGUCCAUCCUAUCCUUUAUUGUAAGUUGAUUUAAAAAGAGAACCCUCUGAAAAAACUCAGGAUGCUAGGUUCUAGUCCUGAGUUUUCUAACAGCUGACAUGAUCUUCUGCUUUUUUGUGCUCAGUGACAAAAAACACUCAUAUUAUUGAUUUGCAUAAUACUGAUUUCCCCAUAGGGUUUCAUGGAAGUGUGCAAUUUCUGACUCACUGCCAGGUAAUAGACUGACACACUUCUCAUCUGUUAUCCAAAUGUCACUAUUUUGUUAGUAGCAACAAACUACUGUGAUACACUUCCAGAUGAUUUUGACCUAUCUUGACAUCUGGUUGAGAUUGGCGGUAUUCACAGUUUGGCUGACCGUGAUUGAAUUGUUUAAUUUCUCUGUGAUUUAUUUUUCCUACAAGUAGGCCCCUUCCAGUUCUGAAAUUUUACAAGCAAUCUCAUAUAGCGGUAACCAAGCCAAAUGAGGCCUUUUUGUAUAUUUAUAUCAUGCUAACAUAAGAAAUUGCCCUACUUAUUAACUCAGAGUUCUUCCAAUAUUGAAUUCUAAAUUUGACAAUGGCAUGGGGUUAUGAUUUAAGCACUGCUAUCCUCACUAGCAUUCAACAGGAUUAUGGCUAC